UACAGAGGGCUCAAGCGUUGCUCGGAUUCAUUGGGCGUAAAGGGUGUGUAGGUGGCGCGCUAAGUCGGGUGUGAAAUUUCGGAGCUUAACUCCGAAACUGCAUUCGAUACUGGCGUGCUUGAGGACUGGAGAGGAGACUGGAAUUCAUGGUGUAGCGGUGAAAUGCGUAGAGAUCAUAAGGAAGACCAGUGGCGAAGGCGGGUCUCUGGACAGUUCCUGACGCUGAGGCGCGAAGGCCAGGGGAGCAAACGGG
rnacentral:rRNA from 1 species